rnacentral:rRNA from 1 species
CCUACGGGAGGCAGCAGUAAGGAAUAUUGGUCAAUGGGCGCAAGCCUGAACCAGCCAUGCCGCGUGCAGGAAGACGGCCCUACGGGUUGUAAACUGCUUUUGUACCGGAAUAAACCCUUUUACGUGUAAGAGGCUGAAUGUACGGUAAGAAUAAGGAUCGGCUAACUCCGUGCCAGCAGCCGCGGUAAUACGGAGGAUCCAAGCGUUAUCCGGAUUUAUUGGGUUUAAAGGGUGCGUAGGUGGCUUUUUAAGUCAGGGGUGAAAGACGGUAGCUUAACUAUCGCAGUGCCUUUGAUGCUGAAGAGCUUGAAUGAACUAGAGGUAGGCGGAAUGUGACAAGUAGCGGUGAAAUGCAUAGAUAUGUCACAGAACACCAAUUGCGAAGGCAGCUUACUAUGGUUUUAUUGUACACUGAGGCACGAAAGCGUGGGGAUCAAACAGGAUUAGAUACCCUGGUAGUCCACGACCUAACCGAUAGAUACUACGUAUGUUGGUCGAUAUACGUCGUAGCGUCGUAGACGAAGACGUAAGUAUUCUACCGUCGGGAGGUACGCCGCCGACGGGUAGGAACGUAACGUAAAGGUAAAGUUAGUUACGGUCGUUGAGACGUUGCCGACGGACGACCGACGAGGGAGGAGG